rnacentral:rRNA from 1 species
UACGUAGGGGCGCAAGCGUUGUCCGGAAUUAUUGGGCGUAAAGAGCUCGUAGGCGGCCUGUCGCGUCUGCUGUGAAAUCCCGGGGCUUAACCCCGGGCGUGCAGUGGAUACGGGCUGGCUGGAGGCAGGCAGGGGAGAACGGAAUUCCCGGUGUAGCGGUGAAAUGCGCAGAUAUCGGGAGGAACACCGGUGGCGAAGGCGGUUCUCUGGGCCUGUUCUGACGCUGAGGAGCGAAAGCGUGGGGAGCGAACAGG